AUUGAACGCUGGCGGCACGCCUAACACAUGCAAGUCGAGCGGCAGCGAGACUAGUAGCAAUACUAGUUGUCGGCGAGCGGCGGACGGGUGAGUAACACGUAGGAAUCUGCCCUUAAGCGGGGGAUAACCAAGGGAAACUUUGGCUAAUACCGCAUAAUCUCGAGAGAGCAAAGCUGCCCGCAAGGGUGGCACUUGAGGAGGAGCCUGCGUCCGAUUAGCUAGUUGGUGGGGUAAUGGCCUACCAAGGCGAUGAUCGGUAACUGGUCUGAGAGGACGACCAGUCACACUGGGACUGAGACACGGCCCAGACUCCUACGGGAGGCAGCAGUGGGGAAUAUUGGACAAUGGGGGCAACCCUGAUCCAGCGAUGCCGCGUGAGUGAAGAAGGCCUUCGGGUCGUAAAGCUCUUUAGGUUGGGAAGAAGGGUAUUGGCUGAAUAAUCCAGUACAUUGACGGUACCGACAGAAUAAGCACCGGCAAACUCUGUGCCAGCCGCCGCCGUAACAC
rnacentral:rRNA from 1 species